CCUGCUUUCACCUUGCAUACCACUUGAUUUCACCGCAAGAAUCCAAAAAUCUCAAUUACAUCUUCAGACCUCUAUCUACUUUGUAGAUAAAAAAAAUGGUAGCAUGAAGCAGGGAUUUUGGAGAUAAAAAUCCCACAAUUCAAAAUUUAUAAAGAGGGAGGAUGGGAGGUCCCAACGAAAAAAAAAUUCCCACCCUCACUGCCUUCAUCACCAUCAUCACAGUCCACCAUCAACCGAACACACUAGAGACCCCACCGAUCACCAGCCGAUGCCACCCACCAAAAACUACCACCAACGACCUUUCCGUAAUCAACCCAAAAGAAACUAGCCGAGACCUCCCCUUUCACUAAACAAAAAUAUCCAGCUCCUAGAAACUACCAAGUCUAGGUUCACCGACACCAUUGAAGCCCCUCAUCAGAACUAUCCUAUGAACCCACUUACCCUUCAUCGCCAGAACCAUUAUAGCUGAACCACCCAUCACCGUUCUUCCAUAAUUAACUCCCCACAACCCUCAUCCAAG
rnacentral:lncRNA from 1 species